UUAAGCAUAUCAAUAAGCGGAGGAAAAGAAACCAACAGGGAUUGCCCCAGUAACGGCGAAGUGAAGCGGCAACAGCUCAAAUUUGAAAUCUGGCCCCUCGGGGUCCGAGUUGUAAUUUGUAGAGGAUGCUUUUGGUGAGGUGCCGCCCGAGUUCCCUGGAACGGGACGCCACAGAGGGUGAGAGCCCCGUCUGGCUGGCCACCGAGCCUCUGUAAAGCUCCUUCGACGAGUCGAGUAGUUUGGGAAUGCUGCUCAAAAUGGGAGGUAUAUGUCUUCUAAAGCUAAAUAUUGGCCAGAGACCGAUAGCGCACAAGUAGAGUGAUCGAAAGAUGAAAAGCACCUUGAAAAGAGGGUUAAAUAGUACGUGAAAUUGUUGAAAGGGAAGCGCUUGUGACCAGACUUGGGCGCGGCGGAUCAUCCGGGGUUCUCUCCGGUGCACUUCGCCGCGUCUAGGCCAGCAUCAGUUCGUCGCGGGGGAAAAAGGCUUCGGGAACGUGGCUCCUCCGGGAGUGUUAUAGCCCGUUGCAUAAUACCCUGCGGUGGACUGAGGACCGCGCAUCUGCAAGGAUGCUGGCGUAAUGGUCACCAGCGACCC
rnacentral:rRNA from 1 species